rnacentral:rRNA from 1 species
GUUGCCCUGGGUGGCGAGCUGAGGGUGUGAAUCCCACAGGCCGUACACCCAAGGUUUCCAGGGGGAGGGUCGUCCGCCCUGGAUUAGUCGGGACAUAAGCUGAGGCGGAAAGGCGUAGGUGAUGGACAACAGGGUGAUAUUCCUGUACUACCGAUAACCGUUUGAGAGAAGGGAUGACACAGUAGGAUAAGCGAAGCACACUGUUGGUUAUGUGUGCCCAAGCAUUGAGGCAGUCAAAGUAGGUAAAUCCGCUUUGAUAAUGCUGGGAUGUGAUGGGGAGCGAAAGUUAGUAGCGAAGUAGCUGAGUUCACACUGUCAAGAAAAGUCUCUAUCGAGGUUAAAGGUACCCGUACCGCAAACGGACCAAGGAGGGUGAGGAGAGUAACCUAAGGCCAGCGAGAGAACGAUUGGUACGGAACUCGGCACAAGGACCCCGUCACCUAGGGAUCAGAGGUUGCAGCCUCAGGGGGCCGCAGAGAAGAGGCCCAAGCGACUGUUUACCACAAACA